rnacentral:rRNA from 1 species
GACGAACGCUGGCGGCGUGCCUAAUACAUGCAAGUAGAACGCUGAAGGAGGAGCUUGCUUCUCCGGAUGAGUUGCGAACGGGUGAGUAACGCGUAGGUAACCUGCCUGGUAGCGGGGGAUAACUAUUGGAAACGAUAGCUAAUACCGCAUAAGAGUAGAUGUCGCAUGACAUUUGCUUAAAAGGUGCAACUGCACCACUACCAGAUGGACCUGCGUUGUAUUAGCUAGUUGGUGAGGUAACGGCUCACCAAGGCAACGAUACAUAGCCGACCUGAGAGGGGGCUCGGCCACACUGGGACUGAGACACGGCCCAGACUCCUACGGGAGGCAGCAGUAGGGAAUCUUCGGCAAUGGACGGAAGUCUGAGCGAGCAACGCCGCGGGAGUGAAGAAGGUUGUCGGAUCGUAAAGCUCUGUUGUAAGAGAAGAACGAGUGUGAGAGUGGAAAGUUCACACUGUGACGGUAGCUUACCAGAAAGGGACGGCUAACUACGUG